AUUGAACGCUGGCGGCGUGCUUAACACAUGCAAGUCGUGCGGUAACAGGCGUAGCAAUACGUGCUGACGAGCGGCGAACGGGUGCGUAAUACAUGGGAAUCUGCCCUUUAGUGGGGAAUAACCCGGCGAAAGCCGGGCUAAUGCCGCAUAAGAUCUUCGGAUGAAAGCGGGGGAUCGUAAGACCUCGCGCUGAUGGAUGAGCCCAUGUCGGAUUAGCAGUUGGUGAGGUAACGGCUCACCAAGGCGACGAUCCGUAGCUGGUCUGAGAGGACGGCCAGCCACACUGGGACUGAGACACGGCCCAGACUCCUACGGGAGGCAGCAGUGGGGAAUAUUGGACAAGUGGGACGAAAGCCUGAUCCAGCGACGCCGCGUGUGUGAAGAAGGCCU
rnacentral:rRNA from 1 species